rnacentral:rRNA from 1 species
AGAUUGAACGCUGGCGGCAUGCCUAACACAUGCAAGUCGAACGGGAGUAGCAAUACUCUAGUGGCGGACGGGUGAGGAAUACGUAGGAAUUUGCCCUUAAGUGGGGGAUAACCCGGGGAAACCCGGAUUAAUACCGCAUGACCUCGAAAGAGCAAAGUGGGGGAUCGCAAGACCUCACGCUUUUGGAGAAGCCUACGUCGGAUUAGCUAGUUGGUGAGGUAAUGGCUCACCAAGGCGACGAUCCGUAACUGGUCUGAGAGGAUGAUCAGUCACACCGGAACUGAGACACGGUCCGGACUCCGUACGGGAGGCAGCGAGGUGGGGAAUAGUGGACAAGUGGCGCGAGCCUGAUCAGCAAGUCGCCGUCGUGUGGUAGAAGGACGGUCCGUUAGGGUUA